GUAGGACUAUCUUUUGUUUUUUCCUCUCUUUUACUAUGAUGAUUUUCCUGCUGUGAAGCUUUUCUUGUUUAAAGCUCAAUUUCUCUAUGACCACGGGAGUAAACAUCCUGAUGCAUUCUUACCAUGUGAAUGUUGAGAGCGGGUUCAUUUUUGAAAUCUUCUUUCUGACAGACAUAUUCUACAUGAUUAGCUGAGAUGUUAUUUCACUGGAUUAUUUAAUGGAUAGGCUUAUUGGGCAUAUAGUUGGAUAUCUCUGGAUCAGCUGAGAUGUUAUUUCACUGGAUUAUUUAAUGGAUAGGCUUAUUGGGCAUAUAGUUGGAUAUCUCUGGUAAG